CAAUGGGCCUGCUACUCCAAUAUCAAGGGCUUGAGCAAUAUUCAUCAAAAACUUCUUCUGAAUACCGAAUCUUCGCCUCCCAAUGCUCCAACUUCCAUCCACCAGGAAUGCGAGGUCAAUCUUGCAAUCUGCAAUGUGGGACGACUCUGCCUGGCUUUACGUAGAUGAAGAAUUUGUGACGCGGUUGGGGAUUGGGCACUAAAAGUCAAGUGGUUGACUCUGCCUUUUGGUGGUCCCAAUCUGGAGGGUUGCACAUCAACAACACAUCAGGAAUUCAAGAAUGGAGGUCAAUGCAUGUAUUUUACUUGUCACCCAUUUUAUUGCAUGUCAUAUUCUCAAUGUGUUCUCCUAUCACCUGGAACUCUGGUUGAGAGCCUUUGUUUGUAAAACUGACCUCAUGACUUCUGCACGGUCAGCAAUAAAACAUAAUUUCAUUCUAUUGUU